UAGAACUGGAACUUUGCUUCCAUCUCCAACGUUCAGGAACCUUUCGCCAUCAUCAAAUCUCCUACUGACCUACAGACCCUGCAUCGAAUUGCAAAUAUGAUAAGGGCUUCCGGUAUCCAAUACCCAGGCAGUAGUAUCACAAAUGAAAAAGUUACAAGGUGUUAUCAUAUAAUUACCUUGCUUCUUCUUCGGCCUGUUUGGGUCUAGGGAGGCAAUG
rnacentral:lncRNA from 1 species